CGCAGAGCCCCCGCGGCGCUGGCUCAGCGAGGCCGCAAGAUGGCGCCGCGGGCGGCAGGAGGAGAGGGGGGACAGCCCCGGCCACGGCGCCCGUGGGUCCGUCCGCUCCUCACCGCCCUCGCCGCUCGCUGCCCGCCCCCCUCCGCACCGCAAGGACGGGGGCACCCGAGCGGGGCUGCGCGCUACGCUGCAGUCAACGGAUGGAGCGCGCUCUGCUUUGACUUAUCGUCCACAGACAGCACGGAUCCAUCAGUGGUGAACUUCAUGAUGAGCUGAAGUGCCGGCUGCCAGGAGACACCAGGAAAUCACAGCAGAAGGUGAGUGGUACACCAUGUCACAGUGAGCACCCGGAGCCGAGAGGAGCAGAGACUGCUUGGAGGAGAACUACAUGUGAAACGUCAUUGGACAAAAUGGGGAAUGCAUCAAUGAAACCAAAACAUUUGAGGCAGCCAGACAGACACAUAGCAAAUCUAGCUCUCGGUUGUGCUAGCAACUAUAAGUUUCUAACAGACCCUGGUUUGGGCAUCCACGUCACUGGACAAGUUGAUGUGCUUUGCAGCAGAGUGCUUGAACUGGAAAAGGAGCUCAGAAGAAAAGAUGAAGAGUUGCAAGAGGGUCAAAGUCUUGUUGCUGAGCUUCAGGAGCAGCUGUCCGUGCAGACAAAAGUCAUAGCAGAACUCACCAAGGAACUUCAGAACAAGUGCAUACAGCUGAACAAGCUGCAGGAUGUUAUUAACACUCAAGGAGAACACUCUCUUCAGCCUUCUCCAUUUAGAGUGACUCCAAAGAAUCAAGUCUUUGCUGACAGGAGGAAAGGAGCUAAGGAGGGUGUAUCUGCAGAGCCAACAACACAGCUCUAUGAUUCUGGCAAACAAGCUAGAUUUUCCUUUGAAAAAUCAAGAGUCAGAAAGGAUUCCAGUGAGAAGAAGCUCAUCACAGACGCCCUGAAUAAAAAUCAGUUCUUGAAGAGACUGGAGCCUCAGCAGAUCCGAGAGAUGGUGGAAUGUAUGUAUGAGAGGACUUUCCAGCAGGGGAGCUAUGUCAUCAGACAAGGAGAGCCAGGAAAUCACAUUUUUGUCCUCAAAGAGGGCAGACUGGAAGUCUUCCAGCAGAAUAAACUGCUCUCCUCCAUACCUGUGUGGACAGCAUUUGGUGAACUGGCCAUUUUAUACAACUGCACACGGACGGCUUCCGUGAAAGCAAUCACCAAUGUUAAAACAUGGGCACUGGACAGAGAAGUGUUUCAAAACAUCAUGAGAGUGACAGCACAGACAAGGCAAGAACAAUACAGAAACUUUCUUAGAAGUGUGUCCCUCUUAAAAAACUUACCAGAAGACAAAUUGACCAAAAUCAUGGACUGCCUGGAGGUGGAGUACUAUGACAAAGGAGAUUAUGUUAUUCGGGAAGGAGAAGAAGGAAAUACCUUCUUUAUAAUAGCAAAAGGAAAGGUAAAGGUUACCCAGAGUACUGCAGAUCACUCGCAGCCUCAGCUGAUUAAAAAUCUGCAUAAAGGAGAUUACUUUGGAGAAAAGGCCCUCAUUAGUGAUGAUGUCAGAUCAGCAAAUGUUAUUGCGGAUGAAUAUGAUGUGGAGUGCCUCGUAAUAGAUAGAGAGACAUUUAAUCAAACUGUUGGAACUUAUGAGGAGUUACAAACCUACCUUGAAGGUUAUGUGGCUAAUCUGGCCAGGGCUGAUGAGAAGCGACAUGCGAAAAGAAGAUCCUUCUGUGGACAGUCAACCAAAGAGGUGUCUUUGGAGAUGAUACAACUGAAGGAGAAAGUAGCCCAGUUCCCUUCUUCCCCAUUCCAGAAUUUAGAAGUUGUCACAACUCUCGGCGUUGGUGGAUUCGGAAGGGUUGAGCUUGUUAAGGUAAAAAAUGAGAACGUGGCAUUUGCUAUGAAGUGUAUAAAGAAGAAACAUGUAGUGGACACCAAACAACAAGAGCAUAUAUAUUCUGAAAAGAAAAUCCUUGAGCAGAUAUGUUCUCCUUUCAUUGUGAAACUGUAUCGCACAUUUAAGGAUAAUAAGUAUGUGUACAUGCUGCUGGAGGCGUGCCUUGGUGGGGAGCUGUGGAGCUUGCUGAGAGACAGAGGCAGCUUUGAUGAACCCACUACAAAGUUCUGUGUUGGAUGUGUGACAGAGGCUUUGGACUAUCUACAUCACAUAGAAAUUGUCUACAGAGACUUGAAGCCAGAAAACUUAAUUUUGGAUGCUGAAGGAUAUAUAAAAUUGGUUGAUUUUGGAUUUGCAAAAAAGAUCGGAUCAGGGCAGAAAACCUGGACGUUCUGUGGAACCCCUGAGUAUGUUGCUCCAGAAGUCAUUCUGAGUAAGGGCCAUGACUUCAGUGUGGAUUUUUGGUCCCUUGGGAUUCUUGUGUAUGAACUCCUUACUGGCAGCCCACCAUUCUCUGGAGCUGAUCAGAUGACAACAUAUAAUUUGAUUCUAAAAGGCAUUGAAAAACUGGAUUUUCCUAGAACAAUAACAAGGCGGCCUGAGGAUUUGAUCCGCAGACUCUGCAGGCAGAACCCGACAGAAAGAUUAGGCAAUCUGAGGAAUGGGAUUAAUGACAUUAAGAAGCACAGGUGGUUGAAUGGCUUUAACUGGGAUGGUCUGAAAUUGAGGAAAUUAGCAUCACCUUUAAAAAGAGAGCUAUCUGGACCAACUGAUUACAGCUACUUUGACAGCUAUCCACCUGAAGAGGGAAUGCCUCCAGACGAACUUUCCGGUUGGGACAAGGAUUUCUGACACUUUUUUCUUCCAGGACAUCUAUAGAGACUCAUGGGCAUCAGUUCUAAAGCUGUUCUUGUGUUUCUUGCUUAAAACCAAAGUACAUGAUGUUAUUGAAAAAUGUUAUGCUCCUUGGAGAAUAGAAGACGGUACAGCAACCAGAACUUGUUUGGAUAUUGCACCAAAUUCUGUGUGCAUCUCCUUAUAACAAAAGCAUGCAGAUGCAACCUGAAUCCUUUUUGAAUACGCAAUAUCUUUAUGAGCAUUUACUGACACUACGAAUGGGAUGCAUGGUUUUGCCAUUGGGAAUUUUACUAGCAUAUUUUGAUAUCAACAAGGUUGCCACAUGUCUUUAUUUUGAACAGAGAGAAUGAAGAUUAUGGGCCCAUAACUUUGUGGAAUUUGUCAAUACCUGACACUACAGGCAUUUAUUUUUCAUUUUAUAACGAGUUUACUGUGCGUUUUGCUCUUUCCAGUAAUGGGCAGUCCUGCAUUGAUCCAGAAGCAUGUAGAAGACUUUUUUUACAAGACUGAUUUGACUUGAUGCUGCAGCUUAAAGGGUAUCAGUGUGGAAACUGCCUCUCUCUCUGUUUAAUUCUGCACCAGGUUGAUCAUGUGGAACACGGUACAACAGGUCAAAUGGAAAUCCAGCUGGGAACUAGGUUUUCAGGACAUGAUCAGGCAGAGACUUGAGCAACUCAAUUUGGACUCAGUGUUGACCCUUCUCUGAGUUGGAAUGAAGACCUCCCAUGAUCCUGUGACCCCAGGAAUUAAUUUUAUCAGUCAGCUAUUUGCAUAAUUACAAUGUAUCAUGACACUUUUCUCUAUAUGAAUUUGUAGAUACUUAAUGUCUGUAUUAUUAGAACAGAAGAGUUCUUUUGAAAUGUUGAUUGGAUGAUAAAUGCAGUUGGGUGUGGAGUGCUCAUGAAUUAAGCAUAGAACUCUCUUGCACCCUACUAUGAAGGCACGGCAUCUUCCUGGGGAUCAUGCUGGUAUUCUUGCAUCAAUGCAUCUGUAGCCCUUGAUAGAAAUUUGUUCUUAACCUAAAUUAAGAUAUUUAAACUGCCGUGGCACACUGCAUUUCACGUGCUAGAUGGAAAAACCUCCUAGGAAACUUGUGACGUGUGUUCAGGGCUUCUUAACUGACACUGGCUGACUGGUUAUGACCUAUCCAACUGGACAAAGAAGGGUUUGCCACUGAGGCUGUCCAUUUUCCCCAUUUUUGAUGAAUGAAAGAAUCAGAUCUUCCACUUCUGAGGUCAGUGUCAAGCUACUGUUUGCCCUUAGUUAAAGCGUAGGGAGCUGGGGCUGUAUUUGAUGAGGAAUGUGUGUUUUGUUUUGAGGUGGAAUUGCUCUUCACUGAAUCUCUGCCUGAUGAACUGCAGAAUGUGCUGUAGGGGGACACUCAUUUGGCUGUUUUGGGCAGAAAUUUAACAAAAUGUUUUCAUUAAAAAUUGUAGGUAACAAGGAAAUCCUUGAACUAAUGUAUUACAUUGUGUAGGCUAAUUGAUUUGUUCCACGUUAACAAAUAUUUUUUUCUUGUUGAACAGUCAGACAGAUUGAUUUUCUUUGACAGAAGAUCAAUUUAAAUAUUUUGUACAGCAUUCAGCCCAAGUAAAGGCAGCAGAGUCCUUUCCAUUGGAAAAUAAUCAGGUCAAAGAGGAUGGAUUGGAGGCUUUAAGCUAGGACUAGUGCGUUAGUCCCUUUUAGCAGCUUCACUUAUUACCACCAAAAAACAGAUUUUCAUUUCAGGAUUUAGGCAAGAGUAGAUGUUGUGGAUGUGUGUUUCUGUGUGUCUCUGUCUGUCUCUCAUACAUAUUUUUAUGAUAGUCAAAAGAAUAUUGAGUCAGAUUUUAUAAAAAGAUUUUGAAUGUAUUUUUCCAUCGUAUCUAUAGGUAGUUUUCCUUGAGAUACAUAACAAUGAAAAUAUAUAUCAUUUUUUAAGUGAAGAAAUAUAAGUGAGUGCACUGUUCAUGGCAGUUAGCAAUUAAGCCUAUGGAACAAGAGGAUGUUUUGUUUAUGAAGAAAUCGAGUUGCUUGUUUAACUUGCAGUGUGUGCAAAUAAAAAAAUAAGCUUGCAGUG